rnacentral:rRNA from 1 species
ACAGAGGGUGCGAGCGUUGUCCGGAAUCACUGGGCGUAAAGGGCGCGUAGGCGGCCUGAUAAGUAGGGGGUGAAAUCUUGCGGCUCAACCGCAAGGCUGCCUUCUAAACUGUCAGGCUGGAGCACGGUAGAGGCAGAUGGAAUUCCCGGUGUAGCGGUGGAAUGCGUAGAGAUCGGGAAGAACACCAGUGGCGAAGGCGGUCUGCUGGGCCGUUGCUGACGCUGAGGCGCGACAGCGUGGGGAGCAAACAGGA